AACAUUUGAUAGAAGAAGUGCUUUCUGCCUAGUGUGGGUCCCAGGAUGUCUAGCUUCUGAUACUAGGAAGCCCUUUCAGAUCCAGGGACUGAAGGGUUAUUACUGUGGUGCUAGAGCUAUGCAGCUGGAGCAUUGUCUUUCUCCCUCUAUCAUGCUCUCCAAGAAAUUUCUCAAUGUGAGCAGCAGUUACCCACAUGCAGGCGGAUCUGAGCUUGCCUUGCAUGAUCAUCCCAUUAUCUCGACCACUGACAACCUGGAGAGAAGUUCACCUUUGAAAAAAAUUACCAGGGGGAUGACGAAUCAGUCAGAUACAGACAAUUUUCCUGACUCCAAGGACACACCAGGGGACGUCCAGAGAAAUAAACUCUCUCCCGUCUUGGACGGGGUCUCUGAGCUUCGUCACAGUUUCGAUGGAUCUGCUGCAGAUCGCUAUCUGCUCUCUCAGUCCAGCCAGCCCCAGUCUGCUGCCUCUGCUCCUAGUACCAUGUUCCCUUAUCCCAGCCAGCAUGGACCUGCUCACCCAGCCUUCUCCAUCGCCAGCCCCAGCCGCUACAUGGCUCAUCAUCCUGUGAUCACCAACGGAGCUUAUAACAGCCUCCUGUCCAACUCUUCUCCGCAAGGCUACCCCACGGCGGGCUACCCGUACCCCCAGCAGUAUGGCCAUUCCUACCAAGGGGCACCUUUCUACCAGUUCUCCUCCACCCAGCCGGGGCUGGUUCCCGGCAAGGCUCAGGUCUACCUGUGCAACAGGCCACUCUGGCUGAAAUUUCACCGGCACCAGACGGAGAUGAUCAUCACCAAGCAGGGAAGGUAAGCUUCC